GCCAGGUGCAGUGAUACACGCCUGUAAUCCCAGUGUCUAGGGAGGCUGAGACAGGAGGAUCAAGAGUUCAGAGCCAUCCUCAGCAAUAGUGAGGUGCUAAGCAACGCAGUGAGACCCUGUCUCUA
rnacentral:sRNA from 1 species